CGAGAGAUUUGGAGAAAAUGAUGUCAAAACACAUCUUCCUCAAGCCCAUGCUGAGUAUCUCUGAUUUGGUUAAUUUCUUGGCUGCUAGCAAGUUUAGGCAGGCCCUACCUAGCAUACCCAUCCCUGUGUGCUCCCCCAACCUCAGCCUAGCUAAUGAACCAGCUGGCACCCUCUCUACGUCUCUGCCAUCUGUCACCUAGACAACACAGCAUCUUCCAAAUGAGUGCCUCUAUUUCCAGGGUGAUCUUAAAACAGAAAUCAGAUUUUCACCCCUGCUGAAUAUCCUUCAGGGUCUCUUCUCUGCACCCAGCUGGAAUCCAAACACUGGUCCAGGAAGCCCCGCCUGCCUCUCCUGCCUCACCCAGAUGGCUCUACCCUUUGCCCACCUCACUUCAGCCACAGUGGCCUCACCUAAGUGCCUCCACAUUUGGUAUCUAUUCAUUCUCUAGCCAGUGCACCUCAGAAUGCCUGGAAUUCAGCUGGGCAUGGUGGCCCAUUCCUGUAAUUCCAGCACUUUGUGAGGCCAAGGUGGGUGGAUCACUUGAGGUCAGGAGUUCGAGACCAGCCUGACCAACAUGGGGAACCCCCGUCUCUACCGAAAAUACAAAAAUUAGUUGGGCAUAGUGGUGCGUGCCUGUAAUCCCAGCCACUCUGGAGGCCGAGGUAGGAGAAUUGCUUGAACCUGGAGGUGGAGGUUGCAGUGAGCCAAGAUUGUGCCACUGCACUCCAGCCUGGGCGACACAGCAAGAUUCUGUCUCAAACAAACAAACAAACAAAUAAAAAGAAUGCCUGGAAUUCCUGUCCUUUCCCAUCACUUGUUGUCUCUUUCUCAUCUUUCCAGCCUCAGCUUAAAUGUCACCUCCUCAGGGGAGCCUUCCCUGGUCACAUGAUCUUUAAUAGGUCAUCCAUGUUUUUCUUCCCUCAGCACCUCAUUUGUUUCCUUCC
rnacentral:lncRNA from 10 species